GUGCCAGCAGCCGCGGUAAUACGGAGGGUGCAAGCGUUAUCCGGAUUCACUGGGUUUAAAGGGUGCGUAGGCGGAAUUGUAAGUCCGUGGUGAAAUCUCCAAGCUUAACUUGGAAACUGCCAUGGAUACUAUAGUUCUUGAAUGUUGUGGAGGUUUGCGGAAUAUGUCAUGUAGCGGUGAAAUGCUUAGAUAUGACAUAGAACACCGAUUGCGAAGGCAGCAGGCUACACAAAUAUUGACGCUGAGGCACGAAAGCGUGGGGAUCAAACAGGAUUAGAUACCCCCGUAGUCC
rnacentral:rRNA from 1 species